UAGGGAAUAUUGGACAAUGGGGGGAACCCCGAUCCAGCCAUGCCGCGUGGAGGAAGACUGCCCUCUGGGUUGUAAACUCCUUUUAUAUGGGAAGAACCGUCCUCAUUGAUGAGUGACCUGACGGUACCAUAGGAAUAAGCACCGGCUAACUCCGUGCCAGCAGCCGCGGUAAUACGGAGGGUGCAAGCGUUAUCCGGAUUCACUGGGUUUAAAGGGUGCGUAGGCGGAUAUGUAAGUCAGUGGUGAAAUCAACGGGCUCAACCUGUUAACUGCCAUUGAUACUGUGUCUCUUGAAUAUGAGAGAGGUAGGCGGAAUGUUGCAUGUAGCGGUGAAAUGCUUAGAUAUGCUACGGAACACCGAUUGCGAAGGCAGCUUACUAUUUCGUAAUUGACGCUGAGGCACGAAAGCGUGGGUAGCGAACA
rnacentral:rRNA from 1 species